GGAGAGGUGGCCGAGUGGCUGAAGGCGCUGGUUUCGAAAACCUGUAACGGGUCACACCGUUCGUGGGUUCGAAUCCCACCCUCUCCG
rnacentral:tRNA from 2 species